UUAUUAUUCUUAGUAACAUUUCCUAGUCAGGACUGAGGGACCUCAGCAGAAGAAGGUAAGUUUGGCAUGCUUAGCUCUUACCUGUCUGAAGCACUCCUGGUAGUCAGCGGGCAGUCCCAUGGAAGUCACCUGGAUUUUGGGAAGUUAAACAAAAACACUGCUCACAAGACCGCAACUUGAUGUCUCUCAGUCUUCUAACAGGAUUACAGGUGGGAUUUCUUCCCAGUCCCAGGAUAAGGAACAUUAACAAAAAGACUCUCUCAAAGCCAGAUCUCCCCUUUUUUGAACUGUUUAAAUAACACGGUCUUGUUUACGGACUGCAGUGAACCGAGGUGCUAUCAGCAUGCCAACAAGACUCGCAGUCCGCCCCAGUCAUUCACUCCACUGCUAGAAAACGCACAGGCGAAAUACCAGCCCAUUUUUUAUUAUUUUGGAGACGUGCCACGAAUUCCCGAUUCCCGGUCUUAAAUCACCUCGCACUCUGCGGAGACAGUACCCAGGGAUCUCUUCCCCAGCCAGCGCAGCACGGCCUUCGGCAGGAAGCUGAACAACGCCCAGCAGCUAAAAUCAAGUGUUUCAGAGCAGAGGGUGGCGAGCUGGGUGCUCUCAGAUUUCCAAGGGGGGUUAGCUAGGCAGAGUGUAAUUACCCUGUCCAAAGCUUAGAUGUUCGUUGAAAAGUGCUCCAGGAUCUGUAACAGCCGUAGGCAGCCAAGACCUGUGUGCAGGAGUGUUCCCUUGGAUUUUCAGUCCAGGUGCUAAACUGUCCUGCUCCUGCUUAGUUUGGGCUGUGUGAAUGCAUAUAAUCUCACCGUGGUGCUAUAAAUUUUCUCUGGUUUAUCUCACUUAAGGGUCUCCCUAGUCACAGUUCAUUAUAGGAGCUAGCAGCUCAGAGAAAGUCUAGGGAGAGAAGAUUUUUCUGUUAAAGCCAACCAUGGAUCCAUUUUAAAGUUCUAGUGAGUAAAGACAAUCCCUCACACCUGUAGCUUGUCUGGCCUAGUAGAAAUAAAAGGGGAGGAAGGAGAGUGUGAAAUAGAAUA
rnacentral:lncRNA from 1 species